rnacentral:rRNA from 1 species
CGGGUGAGCGGCGGACGGGUUAGUAACGCGUGGGAAUAUACCCAGUUCUAAGGAAUAGCCUCGGGAAACUGAGAGUAAUACCUUAUACGCCCUUCGGGGGAAAGAUUUAUCGGAAUUGGAUUAGCCCGCGUUAGAUUAGGUAGUUGGUGGGGUAAUGGCCUACCAAGCCUACGAUCUAUAGCUGGUUUGAGAGGAUGAUCAGCAACACUGGGACUGAGACACGGCCCAGACUCCUACGGGAGGCAGCAGUGGGGAAUCUUGGACAAUGGGGGAAACCCUGAUCCAGCCAUGCCGCGUGAGUGACGAAGGCCCUAGGGUCGUAAAGCUCUUUCAACUGUGAAGAUAAUGACGGUAGCAGUAGAAGAAACCCCGGCUAACUCCGUGCCAGCAGCCGCGGUAAUACGGAGGGGGUUAGCGUUGUUCGGAAUUACUGGGCGUAAAGCGCACGUAGGCGGACUAUUAAGUAGAGGGUGAAAUCCCGGGGCUCAACCCCGGAACUGCCUUCUAUACUGGUAGUCUUGAGUUCGAGAGAGGUGAGUGGAAUUCCGAGUGUAGAGGUGAAAUUCGUAGAUAUUCGGAGGAACACCAGUGGCGAAGGCGGCUCACUGGCUCGAUACUGACGCUGAGGUGCGAAAGUGUGGGGAGCAAACAGGAUUAGAUACCCUGG